ACAGGGUGUGUGUGUGAGGCUCAUAGUGUAGUAGUGUAGUGCUUGUAGUUGCUGCUGCUUUCGGCAACUCUUUGCGUAAAGCUACUGCUGCUGGCUCCUCCCUCUAUCAGGGCUGGAAAGAGGAGAUGAGCGUGUCAGUCUUCUCCGAUGCCAGUACACAGCCUCUUCACCACCAAGACUCCUGCAGUGCCUCCUCGUGGCCACACAUGGUAACUGGGUACUUUAUUACCCCAGGCUAAACUGCAGGGGAUCUCGGAGCAGCAGUGGGCCCCAGAGACGAGGUGUACUGGCCCUCCACCAUGUGGACAUGGCCUUUACGCUCAUCAACCACUGUCACAACUAUGGGUAAAUAGCCCCGCUGACUUGUGGGUCAGCCUGUCAGAUUGUUUUACUGUGUUACUGUAGGCUAAUAAUCACUGUAGACACUCCCUGGUACUGUAGACAUCAUGUGUCAGGUUGUGAAAUGUUCCUAUCAUAGAUCACAUCAUGAUGGACAUUAUAGCUGAUGUGAAUAUUUCUGAUGCAUCUGGAAACACUUUAACUUCAAUGUAGUUUAGAAGUGACUUUUUGAAUGUAGCUGUAGACGAAGUCUUAAUGUUUGACAGCAUUUCAGUGACAGCGUUUAUAUUUACACGUCAAAAUAUAGUCGUGAAAUAGCGUUGAGCAAAAUGUUUUAAUGUAAAAUCAAAAAAGUGAGUCCGUUUAAACAUUGACACUUAAGUUGGACUUUAUUAUUAUUGGUCCAUAAGUAAACUAUGUUUUAUCAGUUUGAUCCAUAUUCUCAUCUUCAGUUUGGGUCUCAUGCAUUUGUCCCCGUCAGGUUACAACUGAAUAAAUAUCACAUGUAACAUAAUGGUAGGACUGCAGCAUUUUAUCAUCCAUUAAUGAAAUUAAAGUCUGUUAAAUGAUGAAUGAGUGGAUUACACUGUAUAAAUUGUGAUAGUGUUCAUUUAUUGACUCUUCUCUUCACUCCUGUUUUUGAAAAUAAAUGUCAUGGUCAUUGGCAUGCGUUAAUAUUUCUGCUCAACUGGAUUUAAAUGGGGGCUGUGGUCUUUGUUUACCCGUUGCCAUGGUGGAUCGCAGUAUCAGAGCUCCACUGAUGAUGGCUUUUUUCAUUCCUAGCACACACCCUUAACUCAGAGUGAAUAUACUCAGAGUUGAUUGAACUAAUGCUGAACUAAAACUCAUAGUUUGACAGCUCAGAGUUGGUCAACCUGAAAUUAAGGUUUUAACUCAGAGUUUGUUGAACCUGCUUUCUGAAACGGGCCCCUAAUCCUGGAGCUUGUUGUGUUGUUGUUGUGUUGUUUUGGUUGUGUCGUGUUUCCUUUAGGUGAGAUCAGAAAUCAGUGAGUCAGGUCCAAGUAGAGAAAACACAUCUCCUCACCACAGAUGAUCAAGGAGUUGAAGUGAGUCAAAUCAUUCUAAUUAAAGCGACACAGUUGGUUUAGGUUAUAUUUCAUGUGUUCAUGACGCAUGACAGAUUCAUAACAUAGCCUAAGGGGCCCUAUAAAGGCAUCACACAAUAACCAGUGUUAUUUUGGUGAGUAGCCCCUUUUAGAUAUAAGGGGUAAAUAACAAACUGGCCCCAUUAAAAAUUAAAAUAUCACAAAGAGUAAUGUAGUAGCGAAAAUAUCAGGAUAGCAGCACAGAGGCUUGGGUUUAAAGACCCUCUGAGCCCUUGGGCCCCCGUCAGUAACCAUCCUCGCAUAGAAUUCCUCUCGUCCAAUCAAAUCACUUGCUCGCAACUGGUUGGUACUAAUAGACAUUUGUUCAUUUCAUAUGUUUGUUUUGUUUGUCAGAUUGUAAACAAACAUGGGGGACCAGGCUGAAUGAUGAGAGAGUAGAGGAGAGACAGCUCCACUAACACAUGAGAAGCAGUUGAGAGCAGCAGGAGUGUAACCAUGGAGACACACAAGCUCCCACCAUGCUUUGCAGCAUAGGGACCCUGAAUGCACCAUGAAGAGAGGCGGGGACACACAGGACAUGCCCACUCAUGCUGUGAAAGAGUGUAAAAUAGUUCUUCAAAUUAAAAUAUUGACCAGUAAAAUCUCAUCUAAAAUUAUACAUUAAAGGGAUAGUUCAGGGUUUGUUUGUUUUUUAAAUAAUGUGUAGUUAUGCAGAUAGGCACUAAGUGAAAACAUGGCUGCCAGCACAAACACCAGUGAAAAAUAUGUUUAUGUAAUAAA